CUGCGUGAGAUGGAGGCGCCCGAGAGAGAGGGGACUGUGGGCCUGCUGCCGAACUCGUGCGAGCCACCCGGCCGAAGGAACUGCACCCCCGCGAAGCGGUCAAAGCCUGAAAGAAUGGAGGACGACGAAUGAACACCGUGCCUUUCGUCAUCUUCCCCGUGUUGUGGGGCCUCCUGACCGAGGACCGGUUUGUAAUGAGAAGCAAGGUGUUGGUUGAGGGACGGCCGGCAUGCCGCCAGGAGGAAGGAAAAGGAACCGUGCUGUUUUCACGUGAAGCAGCACACCCCCACCAUACGCUGGCUUUACCCCGGCCGGCUGGCGCCAUCUUCUCACUUGGCCCUCCUGUGGUACACUUGGCCAUCUGGAGACCUCAUUCCUACCGUUUCUUAAAGUGAGGUGAAACCUUUGUUCUAGGUAGUCGUUUACUCAGAAUCCUAUCAGCCCGUGUCACCAGUGUUGAAGAUCCCAGAUUCUUGGCAUCUCCUGCAAAGAAGUGGAUGAAGACACACAAAAGUGUA